UACGUAGGGAGCAAGCGUUGUCCGGAAUCAUUGGGCGUAAAGAGCGCGUAGGUGGCUGCAUAAGUCCGUUGUGAAAGUCAAAGGCUCAACCUUUGAAAGCCGAUGGAUACUGUGGAGCUAGAGUACGGAAGAGGCGAGUGGAAUUCCUGGUGUAGCGGUGAAAUGCGUAGAUAUCUGGAGGAACACCGGUGGCGAAGGCGGCAUCCUGGACCAACACUGACGCUGAGGAGCGAAAGCCAGGGGAGCAAACGGG
rnacentral:rRNA from 1 species